AGCAACCCUACCUGGCGUUACAGAACCAGAGCUCCUUGUGUCCUCCUUCCCAGAAAAUCCUGCUGCUUUGGUUUGGUCACCAGAACCAGUUUGGCUGUUAUUGUGAGACUGGCUAGAGCUGCUGGUCUUUUCAUCCCUAACCAUUGCUGGAGAGGCGUCGGAUCCACCAGCACCACUGCCAUAUCGAGCCUGCCCUUCUUUAGCAG
rnacentral:lncRNA from 1 species